rnacentral:rRNA from 1 species
UGGGGAAUCUUCCGCAAUGGACGAAAGUCUGACGGAGCAACGCCGCGUGCGGGAUGAAGGCCUUCGGGUUGUAAACCGCUUUCAGCAGGGACGAGGCGAAAGUGACGGUACCUGCAGAAGAAGCCCCGGCUAACUACGUGCCAGCAGCCGCGGUAAUACGUAGGGGGCAAGCGUUAUCCGGAUUCAUUGGGCGUAAAGCGCUCGUAGGCGGUCUGUUAGGUCGGGAGUUAAAUCCGGGGGCUCAACCCCCGUUCGCUCCCGAUACCGGCAGACUUGAGUUUGGUAGGGGAAGGUGGAAUUCCUAGUGUAGCGGUGGAAUGCGCAGAUAUUAGGAAGAACACCAGUGGCGAAGGCGACUUUCUGGACGAAAACUGACGCUGAGGCGCGAAAGCCAGGGGAGCGAACGGGAUUAGAUACCCCGGUAGUCCUGGCCGUAAACGAUGGGUACUAGGUGUAGGAGGUAUCGACCCCUUCUGUGCCGGAGUUAACGCAAUAAGUACCCCGCCUGGGGAGUACGACCGCAAGGUUG